CGCACAUUGCGCCCUCUGGUAUUCCGGAGGGCAUGCCUGUUCGAGCGUCAUUUCAACCCUCAAGCCCCCCGGCUUGGUGCUGGGGCACUGCUCUGUGAGGAGCAGGCCCUGAAACCCAUCGGCGAGCCCGCCGGGACCCCGAGCGUAGUAGUUUUCAACCUCGCUCUGGAAGGCCCUGGCGGUGCCCUGCCGUUAAACCCCCAACUUCUGAAUUUUUGACCUCGGAUCAGGUAGGAAUACCCGCUGAACUUAA
rnacentral:misc_RNA from 1 species